GAUGAACGCUAGCUACAGGCUUAACACAUGCAAGUCGAGGGGUAACGAGAGGAAAGCUUGCUUUCCUUGUCGACGACCGGCGCACGGGUGAGUAACGCGUAUCCAACCUGCCCCCAACUAGGGAAUAACCUUGCGAAAGUAAGACUAAUACCCUAUAAUUUCCUCAGAUGUCAUCUGACGAGGAAUAAAGAUUUAUCGGUUGUGGAUGGGGAUGCGUCUGAUUGGCUUGUUGGCGGGGUAACGGCCCACCAAGGCAACGAUCAGUAGGGGUUCUGAGAGGAAGGUCCCCCACACUGGAACUGAGACACGGUCCAAACUCCUACGGGAGGCAGCAGUGAGGAAUAUUGGUCAAUGGGCGGAAGCCUGAACCAGCCAAGUAGCGUGCAGGAUGACGGCCCUAUGGGUUGUAAACUGCUUUUAUACAGGAAUAAAGUUGGCCACGUGUGGUUAUUUGUAGGUACUGUAUGAAUAAGGACCGGCUAAUUCCGUGCCAGCCGCCGCGGUAA
rnacentral:rRNA from 1 species